GACGAACGCUGGCGGCGUGCUUAACACAUGCAAGUCGAACGAUGAUGCCAAGCUUGCUGGGUGGAUUAGUGGCGAACGGGUGAGUAACACGUGAGUAACCUGCCCCUGACUCUGGGAUAAGCGUUGGAAACGACGUCUAAUACUGGAUAUGACUGCCGGCCGCAUGGUCUGGUGGUGGAAAGAUUUUUUUGGUUGGGGAUGGACUCGCGGCCUAUCAGCUUGUUGGUGAGGUAAUGGCUCACCAAGGCGACGACGGGUAGCCGGCCUGAGAGGGUGACCGGCCACACUGGGACUGAGACACGGCCCAGACUCCUACGGGAGGCAGCAGUGGGGAAUAUUGCACAAUGGGCGAAAGCCUGAUGCAGCAACGCCGCGUGAGGGAUGACGGCCUUCGGGUUGUAAACCUCUUUUAGUAGGGAAGAAGCGAAAGUGACGGUACCUGCAGAAAAAGCACCGGCUAACUACGUGCCAGCCGCCGCGGUAAGAC
rnacentral:rRNA from 1 species